UACGUAGGGCGCGAGCGUUGUCCGGAAUUAUUGGGCGUAAAGGGCGCGUAGGCGGUUUGACAAGUCUGAUGUGAAGUCUAUGGGCUCAACCCAUAGCCUGCAUUAGAAACUGUCGGGCUUGAGUAUGGGAGAGGUGAGUGGAAUUUCCGGUGUAGCGGUGUAAUGCGUAGAUAUCGGGAAGAACACCCGUGGCGAAGGCGGCUCUCUGGGACGGUACUGACGCUGAGACGCGAAAGCGUGGGGAGCGAACAGG
rnacentral:rRNA from 1 species